AGCUGCUUCAUCAAAGAAAUGCAUCUGGGUUGCCUAAGGUCUAUCCUCCCUCAGUCGUGUUUCAGUUUGCUGAGUCAUUUUAAUGUCAUUUUGCACUGUUUGGCCAAGCUCGUUUGUAUAACAGAGAAUUGUAAGACAAACUCAGCUACUAAUGCCAUUUAACAUGGUUACAGUUCCCCUCAGUAGCUCAGCAUACUGCUAUAUACAUUUGUUUGUAUGAGAAGAAAGCUCACACUCACAAUGAGCAAGCACAAACAGAAUUGCCCUCGGGGCACAAUCAAAAGCGUGCUUCCUCCAACUCAUUGGCUUAUCAAGCUUUAAUGAUGCCCCAAGAGGAUCCCAUUUUGUUUGUGUAGUGGAGAUAAGCUAAUCUUCCAGAUAACAAACAUCCAGCAACGCAAAAUGAAAUACAAGGUGUCGUGAUGAUGUAACACAACCACGGCUCCUUCUCACAGAGUCUCCAGGAGGUGAAAAUCCACGCUUUACCCAAAUCCAUCAGCCUGCAGUGCCUUGCUGCAUUCAGAGGCAAUACUCAGCAGCUCCGCUGAGCACUGGUAAGCCAGGCUGCCUGUGAGAGCAGCUCGCUGCUACCGCAGUGAUUGACACGGGCCGUUCUUAGCGUUGGUUGCCACAGCGGGCGCCAAACCUCCCCUAGGCCUCCUUGAUGACAACCUCGGAGAGGGGCCCCAUCUUGUGGACGUUUCCUGGAGUACGCACGGCUGUGGCAGCCGCCGUGCUUGUAAAGCAGCUCUGGAAAGCCAGCUCCCGUACCCGUCAGCACCGGCUCUUAACCUGAGCUAGGGAGUUGUGUCUGGGCCCUGCGGCCAGGAUCCGCGCGCUAAAAGCACCUCCUUUCUCGGACUGUGCAGUGCAGAUGUGAGGAGCCCAGCCUAAGUUUUUGAAGACCUAUUGAGAAGCAGCCGGGAAUGAAUGGAGACAAGAGAGGAACGGGCCGGGCCGGCUGCGGGGAUCCGGAGUGCGGAGGGCUAUUGAAUGUCCUCCAUCGCUUCCCAUCUUUACUUAUCAUCUCUUUGACAAUACCUCCAUUGAUACGGCUGCCUAAAAGGCAAGAUGGACAUGCUGACAGCAGACAGAAAAGCAAGGGUACUUUGGUCAACUCAACUCAAGGGCUGAGCUACAUGCCACUUAUAGCAUCUCUGACUUCACACCUUGCAGCAAUAUUGUCUAGCACAUUCAGCCUGUUGAGGUAUGCAGACAAAUGGCAUGCCAUAUAGUUAGGUCGAGAGCAGAACAAUCUGUGAAACUGCCAAGCUUUCUUGCUAUCAGAGGGAAAGUAAUAUCCAUGCAGAUGGUCUUGAUUUAUGGACAGAUUGCUAAGGUAAUCAUGUGAGAAACUGGCACAUGUUGUAGAAAAUAAGAAGCGAUGAAGACUCUGAGGAUCUCUGAACAAGCACAAACUACCCAGUUAUUGCCAAGGCAAUUAAAUUCAAAAUACCCAAAAAAAGGUCAUCUGGUCAGCAAAACUGGAGCCAGUGCAGUAAAAGUUAACAGGAAUGUUUAUUAUUGUUUAUGUUUUUUUGUUUGUUUACUUGGUUUACCUGGUGGUCAGCCCUGUGCCUGAUCAUUAUAGCUUGGAGUAGCACAAUGAACUCACUGUUUCUGAAGUGUUCAUGCCCGACUUACUUCCACAGUCAGGAGGGGCUGUCUAUGUUUUUCCUUGAUGUCAAUGAAGCAAUACUGGAAGUGCUCUUCUUAACAGUGCUUAUGGAAUACCUGGAGGUUGCCAAACAGCAUCAUUCCCUCCUAACUCCUUACCACAGCCAAUCGCUCAUUUCAUGAAUGGGAAUUUUACUCAAUACAGAAGUAUAUCUGAGACAAAUGCAUUGUAAGUAAUAAAAAUGUUCAUGCAAAAUGAGGCUGUUUCCAUGCUAAUACCUGCAACUAACAAUCCUCAUACUGAAAUAAAACCUGAAAAUACUCAGGUAAUGUCUGGAUGAAAAGUCAUACCCUUUAGGACUCAUGAGUGGCAAAACAAUUUCAUUACUGUUGAUGUCAUAAUGCAGAAUAAUGAAACAAAUACAAAUCAAGAUAAAUUCAAACAGUGCUUUAAUGCUUAAUGGUCCUUCAGUCCAACUUUGAGUUCACAAUCUUCUGUAAGCCUUGCAAAAAAUAAAUAAGUGUAAGUUUAACUGUUUCUGUUCCUUGUUUCUGUCCAUCUUCUUCUUGACUGUUUUCUUCUCUAAAAUUUAAUUGAACUCUGAUUUCAAAGCCUAGCUUCCUUUAUGUUUUUGUCAAAUGAAUGUCUUG